GACGAACGCUGGCGGCGUGCUUAACACAUGCAAGUCGAACGGAAAGGCCCUGCUUUUGUGGGGUGCUCGAGUGGCGAACGGGUGAGUAACACGUGAGUAACCUGCCCUUGACUUUGGGAUAACUUCAGGAAACCGGGGCUAAUACCGGAUAGGAGCUCCUGUUGCAUGGUGGGGGUUGGAAAGUUUCGGCGGUUGGGGAUGGACUCGCGGCUUAUCAGCUUGUUGGUGGGGUAGUGGCUUACCAAGGCUUUGACGGGUAGCCGGCCUGAGAGGGUGACCGGCCACAUUGGGACUGAGAUACGGCCCAGACUCCUACGGGAGGCAGCAGUGGGGAAUAUUGCACAAUGGGCGGAAGCCUGAUGCAGCAACGCCGCGUGCGGGAUGACGGCCUUCGGGUUGUAAACCGCUUUCGCCUGUGACGAAGCGUGAGUGACGGUAAUGGGUAAAGAAGCACCGGCUAACUACGUG
rnacentral:rRNA from 1 species